rnacentral:rRNA from 1 species
GCCCAGCCGUAAACUUUAACUUACAUUCAAAUCGCCAGGGAACUACGAGCUAAGCUUAAAACCCAAAGGACUUGACGGUACCCCAUAUCCCCCUAGAGGAGCCUGUCCUAUAAUCGAUAAUCCACGUUUAACCUCACCAUUUUUAGUUAAUCAGCCUGUAUACCUCCGUCGUCAGCUUACCACGUGAGCGCCAAUUAGUGAGCUUAAUGUCUUUCACCAACACGUCAGGUCAAGGUGCAGCAAAUGAAAUGGGAAGAGAUGGGCUACACUUUCUAUAUUAGAAAAAACGAAAAACUACUUAUGAAAACUAGUUGGAAGGCGGAUUUAGCAGUAAAAAGGAAUCAGAAUGUCCAUUUUAACCCGGCACUGGGGUGUGUACACACCGCCCGUCACCCUCUUCAAAGCUUAUAACCUAGUUCUUAACAAACUAAAGCAUAACAGAAUAGGCAAGUCGUAACAUGGUAAGUAUACCGGAAGGUGUGCUUGGAAAC